rnacentral:rRNA from 1 species
UACAGAGGUCUCAAGCGUUGUUCGGAUUCACUGGGCGUAAAGGGUGCGUAGGUGGUGAGGUAAGUCGGAUGUGAAAUCUCCGAGCUCAACUCGGAAAUGGCAUUGGAAACUACCUUGCUCGAGGGUUGGAGGGGGGGACUGGAAUGCUUGGUGUAGCAGUGAAAUGCGUAGAUAUCAAGCGGAACACCAGUGGCGAAGGCGAGUCCCUGGACAACUCCUGACACUGAGGCACGAAAGCUAGGGGAGCAAACAGG